rnacentral:rRNA from 1 species
ACUCAAAUGAAUAGACGGGGACCCGCACAAGCGGUGGAUUAUGUGGAUUAAUUCGAUGCAACGCGAAAAACCUUACCUACCCUUGACAUGUCAGGAAGAUCUCAGAGAUGAGAUUGUGCCCGAAAGGGAACCUGAACACAGGUGCUGCAUGGCUGUCGUCAGCUCGUGUCGUGAGAUGUUGGGUUAAGUCCCGCAACGAGCGCAACCCUUGUCAUUAGUUGCCACAUUCAGUUGGGCACUCUAAUGAGACUGCCGGUGACAAACCGGAGGAAGGUGGGGAUGACGUCAAGUCCUCAUGGCCUUUAUGGGUAGGGCCUCACACGUAAUACAAUGGCGCAUACAGAGGGUUGCCAACCCGCGAGGGGGAGCUAAUCUCAGAAAGUGCGUCGUAGUCCGGAUUGUUCUCUGCAACUCGAGAGCAUGAAGUCGGAAUCGCUAGUAAUCGCGGAUCAGCAUGUCGCGGUGAAUACGUUCCCGGGUCUUGUACACACCGCCCGU